GCCCAGUUAGCUUGGUUGGCAGAGCAUCUGCCUUGUAAGCACUAGGCCACAGGUUCGAUUCCCGUAUUAUCCG
rnacentral:tRNA from 1 species